rnacentral:rRNA from 1 species
GUGCCCCUACGGGACGCAGCAGUGGGGAAUAUUGGGCAAUGGGCGCAAGCCUGACCCAGCAACGCCGCGUGAAGGAAGAAGGCUUUCGGGUUGUAAACUUCUUUUGUCAGGGACGAAGCAAGUGACGGUACCUGACGAAUAAGCCACGGCUAACUACGUGCCAGCAGCCGCGGUAAUAUGUAGGUGGCAAGCGUUAUCCGGAUUUAUUGGGUGUAAAGGGCGUGUAGGCGGGAAUGCAAGUCAGAUGUGAAAACUAUGGGCUCAACCCAUAGCCUGCCUUUGAAACUGUAUUUCUUGAGUGUUGG